GACGAACGCUGGCGGCGUGCUUAACACAUGCAAGUCGAACGGAAAGGCCCUGCUUUUGUGGGGUGCUCGAGUGGCGAACGGGUGAGUAACACGUGAGUAACCUGCCCUUGACUUUGGGAUAACUUCAGGAAACUGGGGCUAAUACCGGAUAGGAGCUCCUGCUGCAUGGUGGGGGUUGGAAAGUUUCGGCGGUUGGGGAUGGACUCGCGGCUUAUCAGCUUGUUGGUGGGGUAGUGGCUUACCAAGGCUUUGACGGGUAGCCGGCCUGAGAGGGUGACCGGCCACAUUGGGACUGCGAUACGGCCCAGACUCCUACGGGAGGCAGCAGUGGGGAAUAUUGCACAAUGGGCGGACGCCUGAUGCAGCGACGCCGCGUGCGGGAUGACGGCCUUCGGGUUGUAAACCGCUUUCGCCUGUGACGAAGCGUGAGUGACGGUAAUGGGUAAAGAAGCACCGGCUAACUACGUG
rnacentral:rRNA from 1 species